GGUUUUCUUAAAUAUUGUCAAUCUACUAAUUAGGUUGAAGCAAUUUAUUUUACUAACGUAGUCAACUUGAUUUUUAACUUAUGUAUAAAGUUUGGAAGCAAAAUAAUGGUUAGUUAGGAGUAAUUGGCAUUGGGAGAUUGGCAUCAAGGUCAAAGAAUGAAGCCGACUAAUAUUCAAACAAAUUUUUGAGGUUAUUGUCUAUUUGAUAAUUCUGAUAUUUUUUUAUUUUUUUGUGCUUAU
rnacentral:lncRNA from 1 species